CUUUUUGUUAUGAGUUUGAAAUUUGCCCAAAAAUUCACUCGAGACAGAAAGAGAGCGAGGGGAGAAAUAAGUAGCAGGAAUUAGAGAGAAAUUCCUAGAGAAUGAGAGGGAGAUACCGUUUUUGAGGAAAUAAAGUAGGAUAGUGAUAUCCAAAAUAGUUUUUGUUUUCUAAUUUCAGAAAUAUUUGUAUUCUUUUAACUAAAUAUCUCAAGAAACAUGUGGGAGGAAAAUGAAUUCUCAAUUCAGCCAGCAUUCAAUUUCCCAAAUUUAUUUUAUAAUUAAGAAAAAAAUGAUGGCGUCUACCGCCGUCAGCUUUUCCAGUCACCGUCCCACAGCUGCCUCAACCACGAAUUACCCUAAACCCAACCCCACAAACCCCAUCUCUCUCCCCAAUUCACAAGCCAAUCGAGCCCCCUCCGACUCCGACCCUCCGAAAUUCAAGGGCAGCCCCCAGCUGAAUCGAUGGUCCAGGGCCCGAGCCAUACGUUCAGGCCGGAAAUUAGAGCGACAGGGUCAGCGUUCGCAGGUGGUGGAGAUGAACUCUCGUGUUCAGCCUAAGGAGAGCGUGUCGUCUCCCCCGACUUCGGCGUCUGGGGCUCCCGGCAACGAUGACGGAGAGGUGAGGACAGGGAAGUCGAUAUACAUGGUGUCUGACGGCACUGGAUGGACGGUGGAGCAUGCCGUUAACGCCGCGUUGGGGCAGUUCGAACACUGCUUGGUCGAUCGUGGCUGUCCCGUAAAUACGCAUCUGUUCUCCGGGAUUGAUGAUGCAGAGCCGUUGGUGGAGAUAGUAAAGCAAGCAGCUAAAGAAGGUGCAAUGCUUGUUUACACUUUAGCUGACCCUUCAAUGGCUGAAUCUGCCAGACAAGCCUGCAAGCUUUGGGGCAUACCAUCCACUGAUGUACUUGGCCCAAUCACUGAGGCUGUUGCUUCCCAUCUAGGUGUAUCACCAUCUGGCCUUCCUCGUGGGGCGCCAGGCAGGAAGUUCCCCUUGAGUGAAGAGUACUUCAAGCGAAUUGAAGCGAUUGAAUUUACCAUCAAGCAAGAUGAUGGAGCCCUACCCCAGAACCUGCACAAGGCUGAAAUUGUUCUUGCUGGAGUCUCUCGUACAGGGAAGACACCAUUAUCAAUUUAUCUGGCACAGAAAGGAUACAAAGUGGCAAAUGUGCCUAUUGUGAUUGGUGUAGAAUUGCCCAACACUCUGUUUGAGGUAGAGCCAGAGAAGGUUUUUGGUUUGACUAUAAAUCCUGUUGUCUUACAUACAAUCAGAAAAGCGAGGGCAAAGAGUCUGGGCUUCUGUGAAGAAAUAAGGAGUAACUACUCGGAGAUGGACCAUGUGAGAGCAGAGUUGGAAUUUGCUGGCAAGAUUUUUGCACAAAAUCCCGCCUGGCCUGUAAUCGAAGUGACAGGAAAAGCAAUUGAAGAAACUGCAGCAGUUGUAUUGAGACUUUACCAUGACCGGAAGCAUAAGUGCUCAAUGCCAAGAAUCUCGAAACGGUACUAGAGAUGGCUAAUGGUGGUUCUUGUGCGUACUGAAUAAAAUGCUGGCAGAAUGGUUGAAAGCCUAUUUCAAGUCAAAUCACAGGUUGUAACAUAUGAGAAGUAUAGUUUCCAAAGAAGAUGAUCCUGCUAAAUCAUUACAAUCACUUGAGAGUGCAGAUGAAGCAAUCUAUGUAAAAUUUCUUACUACUUCCGCAACAAAGUCACAAAGGCAACGCUUGGAUUAUUGGGAAUGUUAUGAAGUUGACAAGACCACAGAUUGUUUCACACAAAAGGUAAGAAGGUCGAAAGUAUUCAGAGGCAAAUACUUUAAUUGCUUACAACUCUCAUGGUUGUGCUCCUUCCUUGCCUAAUCACAUGAAACCCACAUACAACAAAAAGAGACAAUUGAUGUUGGAUUGCCAAAAGAGCCAACAGAAUAGACAGCAUCAGACAUGAAGGAAAAAGGGCCGCAGACCGCAGAAACCCAUUAUCACAGUGAAACAAAAGGGGAAACACAAUAUCAUGUGUUUCGGUCUCUCCCGGUUUCCAUCCAUACACGGGAUUUCGAAAAAAAAAAAAAAUACUGAAGAUUCUCUGUCACACUGCAGUUGUCCGUCAUUCUCUGUCACACUGAAAAAAGUGAGCUGCUGAGUCUGAAAUCCAUGUUAAUGGAGGUUUGGUUACCUCCUUUUUGUCUCUUUUCCAUCCCCCUUUACCCUCUUGCUUCUUGUUCACCGUCUUGCAGCAAAACUCCUCAAAAGAAAGCGAAUUCGCUCACAGUCAAACUAGUUAUACAUCCAUGUCUGUAUCUGUUCUACAUUCUACUCCUAACUAUGGGAUAUCAUCAAAUUAUUUUGUUCUUCUAAGGAGGUGGUGUGGCUUGUCACUGCUGCCAAUCGAGCUCAGUAUCAUCCCCACCAAGCCUUUUGAUUGAAAGGGUGAAGUAUAUCAGCAAUAUUGUCCCCAUGCUUGACCUGAAAAUAAGUAACAUUACACCCAAAAAAUCAGAGUUAUAUCCCUUGAGUGGCUGCUGACUUGUCAUAAAAAGUAUUUGUGAACAA